AGGAUUUGAUUAGAAUUUAAUUUAAGAUUUAGAGUUUGGUUAGGAUUUGAUUUAAGAUUUAGAAUUUAAUUAGGAUUUAGGAUUUAUCUAGGAUUUGGUUAAAGAUUUAGGAUUUGAUUAGGAUUUGAUUUAGGAUUUAUCUAGGAUUUGAUUUAAGUUUUAGGAUUUGAUUAGGGUUGGAUUUAGGAUUUAGGUUUUGUCUAGAAUUUGAUUUAGAGUUUAAGAUUUGUCUAAGCUUUGAUUGAAGUCCAUUAGACUUUCAAUUAGGAUUAAAUUAGAACUUGAUUGAGAUUUAUUUAAGAUAUAUUGUGAUUAUUUUAAUAUUUUUUAGAGAUUCUUAAGAAUUCUUUUAAAGUUUAUUGUGGAUUGUCUUUUAACUCUUUUAAGAUUUUUUUUAUUUUUUUUGUAAUUUCUUUAAGAUUUCUUUUGAAUUUGAUUAAAGCUUAUUUAGUAUUAUUAAGGUUUAAUUAGAGUUUAUUUAGUAUUCUAUUAGAAUUAG
rnacentral:lncRNA from 1 species